rnacentral:rRNA from 1 species
GAUGAACGCUGGCGGCGUGCCUAAUACAUGCAAGUCGAGCGAACAGAUGAGGCGCUUGCUCCUCUGACGUUAGCGGCGGACGGGUGAGUAACACGUGGAUAACCUACCUAUCAGACUGGGAUCACUUCGGGAAACCGGAGCUAAUCCCGGAUAAUAUAUUGAACCGCAUGGUUCAAUAGUGAAAGACGGUUUUGCUGUCACUACUAGAUGGAUCCGCGCCGCAUUAGCUAGUUGGUAAGGUAACGGCUUACCAAGGCAACGAUGCGUAGCCGACCUGAGAGGGUGAUCGGCCACACUGGAACGGAGACACGGUCCAGACUCCUACGGGAGGCAGCAGUAGGGAAUCGUCCGCAAUGGGCGAAAGCCUGACGGAGCAACGCCGCGUGAGUGAUGAAGAUCUUCGGAUCGUAAAACUCUGUUAUGAGGGAAGAACAAAUGUGUAAGUAACUAUGCACGUCUUGACGGUACCUAAUCAGAAAGCCACGGCUAACUACGUG